rnacentral:lncRNA from 1 species
AUGCCUUCUUUGAAAGUACAGCUCAGGAGGGACAGAGUCAAGACAUCAGAGAAAGUACACAGAUCCAUCUUGAUCUCUACUAAAUUACUCUCCUGCUAUAACAUUAAAAAUGAAUUCUGAAACAGCAUAACUCACAAAAGGGUGGGGUGAAAUAAAACUUUAGUAAAAAAGAAAACA